rnacentral:rRNA from 1 species
UACGAAGGGUGCAAGCGUUACUCGGAAUUACUGGGCGUAAAGGGUGCGUAGGUGGUUUUUUAAGUCCGUUGUGAAAUCCCUGGGCUCAACCUGGGAAUGGCAGUGGAUACUGGAAAGCUAGAGUGCGGUAGAGGGUAGUGGAAUUCCCGGUGUAGCAGUGAAAUGCGUAGAUAUCGGGAGGAACACCAGUAGCGAAGGCGGCUCGCUGGGCCGUUCCUGACGCUGAGACGCGAAAGCUAGGGGAGCAAACAGG